rnacentral:lncRNA from 1 species
AAAUCAUAUAAAAACAUACUAUAUAUAAAAUACAAUUUUUAUAUAUUUUUUAAAAAUAAAUAUAUAUUAAUAAUUUAAUUUAAUAUUUAGUAUAUUAAAUAAUUAAAUUUAGGUUUACAGAAAUUGUCUUGAAAUAUCUAUUAGUAUUUGUACUGUUGAUGAGAGAUAAAGGGUAAAAAUGGUAUUUUAAAAAUAUAACUCCAUUUUAAAGGGACUUUGACAGAACUUAACUAGUGAAGGGCAUAUAUGAUAAUUUUUGAUAUAUUGGAGGGCAUUCAUGAAAUUAUUGAUUUUAGAAGGGCAUUGAUGAAAUUAAUAGUCCCUGGAACGGCAUCUAUGAAAUUAUCCCAAAAAAAUAAAUUUAAUUUAAUUUUAAAAUUUUUAUGGAGGUUCU